UACAGAGGUCUCAAGCGUUGUUCGGAUUCAUUGGGCGUAAAGGGCGCGUAGGCGGCGGGGUAAGUCGGGUGUGAAAUCUCAGAGCUCAACUCUGAAAUGGCACUUGAUACUGCUCUGCUAGAGGACUGGAGAGGAGAUUGGAAUCACGGUGUAGCAGUGAAUGCGUAGAUAUCGUGAGGAAGACCGGUGGCGAAGGCGGAUCUCUGGACAGUUCCUGACGCUGAG
rnacentral:rRNA from 1 species